UAACACCUGGAAACAGAUGCUAAUACCGGAUAACAAACAGAUGAUGCCUAUCAACUGUUUAAAAGAUGGUUCUGCUAUCACUCUUGGAUGGACCUGCGGUGCAUUAGCUAGUUGGUAGGGUAACGGCCUACCAAGGCGAUGAUGCAUAGCCGAGUUGAGAGACUGAUCGGCCACAUUGGGACUGAGACACGGCCCAAACUCCUACGGGAGGCAGCAGAC
rnacentral:rRNA from 1 species